AUUGAACGCUGGCGGCAGGCCUAACACAUGCAAGUCGAGCGGAGCGGCGGACGGGUGAGUAAUGCCUAGGAAUCUGCCUGGUAGUGGGGGAUAACGUCCGGAAACGGGCGCUAAUACCGCAUACUAUCAGAUGAGCCUAGGGCGGAUUAGCUAGUUGGUGGGGUACAGGCCUACCAAGGCGACGAUCCGGAACUGGUCUGAGAGGAUGAUCAGUCAAACUGAAGAUAAGACAGGGGCCAGACUCCUACGGUAGGAAGCAGUGGGGAAUAUUGGACAAUGGGCGAAAGCCUGAUCCAGCCAUGCCGCUUGUGUGAAGAAGGUCUUCGGAUUGUAAAGCACUUUAAGUUGUGAGGCGUUACCAACAGAAUAAGCACCGGCUAACUUCGUGCCAGCCGCCGCGGUAAUUC
rnacentral:rRNA from 1 species